rnacentral:rRNA from 1 species
AUUGAACGCCGGCGGCAUGCCUUACACAUGCAAGUCGAACGGUAACGGGCCUUCGGGUGCCGACGAGUGGCGAACGGGUGAGUAAUGUAUCGGAACGUACCUUUCAGUGGGGGAUAACGUAGUGAAAGUUACGCUAAUACCGCAUAUUCUGUGAGCAGGAAAGCAGGGGAUCGCAAGACCUUGCGCUGAUUGAGCGGCCGAUAUCAGAUUAGCUAGUUGGUGAGGUAAAGGCUCACCAAGGCGACGAUCUGUAGCGGGUCUGAGAGGAUGAUCCGCCACACUGGAACUGAGACACGGUCCAGACUCCUACGGGAGGCAGCAGUGGGGAAUUUUGGACAAUGGGGGCAACCCUGAUCCAGCCAUGCCGCGUGAGUGAAGAAGGCCUUCGGGUUGUAAAGCUCUUUCGGCCGGGAAGAAAUCGUAUCAGCUAAUACCUGGUGCGGAUGACGGUACCGGCAUAAGAAGCACCGGCUAACUACGUGCCAGCAGCCGCAGUAACAC